UCAUUGCUACGUGAAAAAUCACGUAGAUCGUUUGAAAUUCAUUUUGUCUCGACUUCACCUGACUAAGGUAAUGUUUACCUUACCAUUAUUUAACAGCAAGUGAUGACCCGGUAAUGCUUACCAUGGCUAACCUAUCAUAGCUACGUGAAAUUCACAUCGGCACUUGAAUUCAUUUUGACAACCGCAUUUCGCAUUCAUUCGGUGUUGUGUUCAAGAGCGAAGUGGACAUCCACUGUUUUUUUAAAGCUCGAGGAGCUUUACAACAUUUUUGAAAUCGUUUACAAGCGUAUGCAGUAAACUGGAACACGGAACACUGUUGAAGGCGAAUUAAACAUACUCACUGCGGGAAACUAUUAUGAAAUGGCCAACAAAUUCAAGCAGUAAUUUGAUUUAUUUAUAUACCGUCAGUACCCACUAACCAGUUGUUAAUUCAUCGGUUUUAAGUGUAAGCGGGGUACUUAAGCAAGAGCAAAUACUUGUGCACUGUCGGUGAAUUGAUAAAUGUGUAAUUGGUUAUUUGAAUAAAAAUGCACUUGUAGCGAUUGAAUAGAAUAAAUAUUUAAAUUCCACGCUUA